rfam:Triticum urartu cultivar G1812 contig784027, whole genome shotgun sequence.
CUUGUACUCUCUCCGUCCGAAAAUAUUUGUUCUAAAAAUGGAUAAAAUGGAUGUAUCUAUAACUAAAAUAAGUUUAGAUAUAAUCAUUUCUAAGACAAGUAUUUCCGGACGGAGGGAGUAGAAG